CAGGUCAGAACAGAUCCAUCAGUACAUGUGUGGGAUGCCGAGACAUUGAAAUCUGUGUCAGUACUCAAAGGUCAUCAUGAGAGGGGAGUGUGUGCAGUUGACUUCUAAGGUGAUGGAAAGAAGCUUGUAUCUGUUGGCCUUGAUGACAACCAUUCCAUUGUGGUGUGGGAUUGGAGAAAGGGAGAGAAACUAGCCACUACUAGAUAUGAUUUUUAACAUAUAAUGUUAUAUUCCGGGGGUCACAAAGAUAAGAUAUUUGUUGUGAAAUGGAAUCCUUUUGAUACUAACAAGCUUAUCACAGUCGGUGUGAAACAUAUCAAAUUCUGGACGCAGGCAGGUGGAGGUUUUACAUCCAGCCGAGGAACUUUUGGAAAGAUCGCCAAGAACUGUGAUAUGUUGUGUAUAGCUUUUGGAAAAACUGAAGACGUAACAUAUUCUGGUGGCAGUGAUGGUAACAUGUUUGUCUGGGCUGGAACUAAUUUACAGAAAAUUGUCAAAGCUCACGAGGGACCAUUGUUUGUUAUGCACUCACUUGAUAAGGGUUUUGUGACGGGUGGAAAGGAUGGUGUUAUUGGUCUAUGGGAUGACCAGUUUGAGAGAUGCCUGAAGAAUUACCACCAAGAGAACCUGUCUCCACAGUCACGAGGUCGACUCCUCACGGACUCACCAGCCGUACGUGCCAGUGUUGGGACAUGGGAAGAUAUUAGUGGGAACUAGAAAUGGAGAAAUUUUAGAAGUGGAUAAAGCUGGACCGAUUACACUUAUUACACAAGGUCAUUUAGAAGGAGAAGUAUGGGGUUUGUCCGUUCACCCGAUCAAAGAUUUCUGUGUGACAACCAGCGAUGGAUGAUAAAACACGAGUUUGGGAUAUCUCAGACAGCCACAAGAUGGUGAACUUUCAAAUACUCAAACAGGGAGCUAGAUGUGUAGAUUUCUCACCUGAUGGGAAAUUCCUGGCUGUCAGUCUUAGAGAUGGGAGUUUUACAGUGUUGAAUUCAGACACAAUGGAAGAAAUUAUCUCCUUACAUCACAGGAAAGAGGAAAUUGCUGACAUUAAAUUUUCUCCAGGCAAAGCAUUAAUGUUGAAUUCUGGAGCCAAGGAGCAGCUGUUCUUUGAAACACCAAGAGGGAGAAGGAUUACUUUGAGGAAUCAGGAAAUUUAGAAGUUUGCUUGGCAUUCCUGGAUGUCGGUUCCGGGCGUGACAUGUGUGGGUCUGUGGCCACCAAAAUAUGAUGUAACAGACAUAAACGCUACUUGUGCCUCAAGUGAUAUGUCAGUGAUUGCUACAGGUAAUGAUUUUGGAUUUAUGGAACUCUUUAAUUACCCAGCUAAGGUGAGAUUAUAAAACUACUUUGUUCACUGAUGAGGUAAAAAAAUUCAUAGGAGUUAACCUGUGAAAAUAGUUGAAAAUGGGAGUCCAUUUUUCACUAAGGCAAUAGAAAAUUAGUUUUUAGAUUCUCAUCCCCGCC